AUUGAAUGCUGGCGGAAUGCUUUACACAUGCAAGUCGAGCGGCAGCGCGGGGCAACCUGGCGGCGAGCGGCGAACGGGUGAGUAACAUAUCGGAACGUACCCAGUCGUGGGGGAUAACUAUCCGAAAGGAUAGCUAAUACCGCAUACGACCUGAGGGUGAAAGCGGGGGACCGAAAGGCCUCGCGCGAUUGGAGCGGCCGAUAUCGGAUUAGCUAGUUGGUGAGGUAAAGGCUCACCAAGCCGACGAUCUGUAGCUGGUCUGAGAGGACGACCAGCCACACUGGGACUGAGACACGGCCCAGACUCCUACGGGAGGCAGCAGUGGGGAAUUUUGGACAAUGGACGCAAGUCUGAUCCAGCCAUGCCGCGUGC
rnacentral:rRNA from 1 species